rnacentral:rRNA from 1 species
UCCUACGGGAGGCAGCAGUAGGGAAUCUUCGGCAAUGGACGAAAGUCUGACCGAGCAACGCCGCGUGAGUGAAGAAGGUUUUCGGAUCGUAAAACUCUGUUGGUAGAGAAGAACGUUGGUGAGAGUGGAAAGCUCAUC